rnacentral:rRNA from 1 species
GGAUCCAGACUUUGAUCAUGGCUCAGGACGAACGCUGGCGGCGUGCCUAAUACAUGCAAGUAGAACGCUGACUACUUUAGCUUGCUAGAGUAGAAGGAGUUGCGAACGGGUGAGUAACGCGUAGGUAACCUGCCUACUAGCGGGGGAUAACUAUUGGAAACGAUAGCUAAUACCGCAUAACAGUGUUUAACACAUGUUAGAUGCUUGAAAGAUGCAAUUGCAUCACUAGUAGAUGGACCUGCGUUGUAUUAGCUAGUUGGUGGGGUAACGGCCCACCAAGGCGACGAUACAUAGCCGACCUGAGAGGGUGAUCGGCCACACUGGGACUGAGACACGGCCCAGACUCCUACGGGAGGCAGCAGUAGGGAAUCUUCGGCAAUGGGGGCAACCCUGACCGAGCAACGCCGCGUGAGUGAAGAAGGUUUUCGGAUCGUAAAGCUCUGUUGUAAGAGAAGAACGUGUGUGAGAGUGGAAAGUUCACACAGUGACGGUAACUUACCAGAAAGGGACGGCUAACUACGUGCCAGCAGCCGCGGUAAUACGUAGGUCCCGAGCGUUGUCCGGAUUUAUUGGGCGUAAAGCGAGCGCAGGCGGUUUAAUAAGUCUGAAGUUAAAGGCAGUGGCUUAACCAUUGUUCGCUUUGGAAACUGUUAAACUUGAGUGCAGAAGGGGAGAGUGGAAUUCCAUGUGUAGCGGUGAAAUGCGUAGAUAUAUGGAGGAACACCGGUGGCGAAAGCGGCUCUAU